AACACUGUUAACCUGCGGUACCUGCGGAAGGAUCAUUACUGAGUCUAACAAACUCCCAAACCCCUGUGAACAUACCUACUGUUGCUUCGGCGGGACCGCCCCGGGCGCCUUCGCGGUGCCCCGGAACCAGGCGCCCGCCGGGGACAUCAAACUCUUGAUUGUUAUAGUGGCAUUCUCUGAGUAAAACAUACAAAUAAGUCAAAACUUUCAACAACGGAUCU
rnacentral:misc_RNA from 1 species